CGGCGGACGGGUGAGUAACGCGUGGGUAACCUGCCUUGUACAGGGGGAUAACAGUUAGAAAUGACUGCUAAUACCGCAUAAGACCACAGCACCGCAUGGUGCGGGGGUAAAAACUCCGGUGGUAUGAGAUGGACCCGCGUCUGAUUAGCUAGUUGGUGAGGUAACGGCCCACCAAGGCGACGAUUGGUAGCCGGACUGAGAGGUUGAACGGCCACAUUGGGACUGAGACACGGCCCAG
rnacentral:rRNA from 1 species